GAUGAACGCUGGCGGCGUGCCUAAUACAUGCAAGUCGAGCGGACAGACGAGUAGCUUGCUCCUCUGACGUUAGCGGCGGACGGGUGAGUAACACGUGGAUAACCUACCUAUAAGACUGGAAUAACGUCGGGAAACCGGAGCUAAGGCCAGAUAAUAUAUUGAAACGCAUGGGUCAAUAAUGAAAGGCGGUUUUGCUGUCACUUAGAGAUGGAUCCGCGCCGCAUUAGCUAGUUGGUAAGGUAACGGCUUACCAAGGCAACGAUGCGUAGCCGACCUGAGAGGGUGAACGGCCACACUGGAACUGAGACACGGUCCAGACUCCUAAGGGAGGCAGAAGUAGGGAAUCUUCCGAAAUGGGCGAAAGACUGACGGAGCAACGCCGCGUGAGUGAUGAAGGUCUUCGGAUCGUAAAACUCUGUUAUUAGGGAAGAACAAAUGUGUAAGUAACUAUGCACGUCUUGACGGUAACUAAUCAGAAAGCCACGGCUAACUACGUG
rnacentral:rRNA from 1 species